GGUGAACCUGGCCCGGGAGCCAGCCCGGAGGCUCCCCUGUGCGCCACAGGCCUCCCGAGCUCAGUACGUGGACACAGUUCUUCCACUGGACUUCUGCUCUCGAAACUAAAUGUGAUCUCCUACCUGGAGCAAGGGGAGGACCAAUGGAGAGUGGAGCAGGGACCUCCCCAAGACUGGAAGACUACACUUGAAAGAGUCUGUCUGAAGAGGAUAUUGCUGUGGAAGGGCCAUCUUAUCACAUGGAAAUGAAAUACCAUGUUCAGGAGAAGGGCCCCAGGUUGGUGUCAUUAGGAGAAAUGCACCUUUGGCAGGACCAGCUAGGGAAGAACCAGUAGGACUCUGAAUCAAACAGUACUCACCUCAGAGAGACGUUUUACUCAAGGUGGGAGUUGUGAGCCUGAGCUUAGGGAAAUUAUCUGAGUUUAAGCCUUCUACCUCUGACAUUACCUACAAGAACAUAUUUCCAUGAGGUCAAC